CAAAUAAACACAGGGGGAAUGCUGGUUAAUUCAUGGCCAAGGAACCAGGAACGUUCUUGGUUGCCCGCGCGUGGCUUUUUCUUUGAGUUCCUUUCUUGGCGUUAAAUUGACCAUGAAGGCCCAGUCUACUCGUUUUCUUUAUAAGUUUUAUUAGGGUUUAUGUUGUGCUCAAAUAGGCAAGACAAUGACGGCUCUUUAAACAUGGAAUAAGA
rnacentral:lncRNA from 1 species